rnacentral:antisense_RNA from 1 species
GUUCAUUGCAACGCACUCUCCUUUUGAAUUAAUUGAGAGUGCAAUGAUUGUUUUUGAGCAUAUUUGUUCUUGCAUAUUCAUAUCCCAUAUUACUUUACCUCUAAUGCACCCAGCCGAAAUUAUGAAAGGGAUAUCUUGAAAAGGAAACGGUGUGCCUGAGCAAACUGAGGGUGAUACAGUAUAUGAUACAUCUUUGUUAUUCUCCUUUGUUGAGAUUGAGGGAGAAACAUGAAUUUUUGGGAUUCUGUAGACGUAAUUUUCAGUAAAUUUUAAAUACCAAAUGAGAGAAUUGAGAAGUAAUCGCUUACCUUGUAGUUCUUAAAGCAGUAUGGAUUGCUAUAGUUACCCAAUCAACCAUAUUACCUCCAAAACUUAGGAUAGUUGCAUCAAUAUAAAUAUUCCAAUAGAGUUUAUUUUCUAAGAUUGUAAGUUUUGAAA